AGUGAACGUUGGCGGCGUGGAUUAGGCAUGCAAGUCGAGCGAGAACCGUAGCAAUACGGGGACAGCGGCGAAAGGGACAGUAAUAUGUAGGUACCUACCCUCGGGUCCGGGAUAGCUGCGGGAAACUGCAGGUAAUACCGGAUGACAUCUCCGGAUCAAAGGUGUGAUUCCGCCCGGGGAGGGGCCUGCAUCCUAUUAGCUAGUUGGUGGGGUAACGGCUCACCAAGGCGACGAUGGGUAGCGGGUGUGAGAGCAUGACCCGCGUCAUUGGGACUGAGACACUGCCCAGACACCUACGGGUGGCUGCAGUCGAGAAGCUUCGGCAAUGGGGGAAACCCUGACCGAGCGACGCCGCGUGCGGGAUGAAGGCCCUCGGGUUGUAAACCGCUGUCGUAGAGGAGGAAAUGCAGGGGGGUUCUCCCCUCUGUUUGACCUAGUCUAGGAGGAAGGACGGGCUAAGUUCGUGCCAGCCGCCGCGGUAA
rnacentral:rRNA from 1 species